CCUUCUUCUUUCAGAGAUUAGAAUUCAUCAUCUUUUUCGCCGUUUUCGGCCUUCUUCACAAACCCGUGAAACCCCUUCUUUACCCUUAAUCUUGCAAAACCCUUUCCUUUCCCCCCUUCUAAUUCUCUGAAACCACACUGAUGUCUCUAAAAAGUAAAAACCAUUUUCCCCUUUUAAUUCUCUUGAAACCCUUGCCCCUUUAUCUCCAAAACCACACACUCUCAUCUCUCAAACACUCAUUUACGGCACCAGCGCUAGACAGACGACGGAUAAUUGCAGGGAGGCGUUGAGUAACGGAACCACGACCGAUAGAGAGCAACAGAACUGAGGAGGCGAGGCGAGCUGCGAUGGGAACUAAGCUGCGGCCGGGAGAAAGAGGUGCGACGGCGACUGAUAUGAGGUGCAGAUGCGAAUAUGCGACGCUGCGAAGGAGAUAACUCUGCGACACACUCUUCAUUUGUAAUUGAUUCAUCUCCACUCACCACUGACCACUCCGUCUCCACAUUCUAAUGUCUCAGAAUCUCUUUAUCUCUCUCAUAACCACUUAGUCGGUCUCGGUCAAAAUCGCUCAUUCUUUGUUCUCAGUGACGAAGAACAGUGAAGAAUGACAAGUUGGCCUUGGUGAUGACGAACCGCGAUGGAGAACUGAGAUGGUAGUGACGAUGAACCGAGACAUUAGCACUGAACAGAGAUCAAUGGAAUGGCAUCAAUUGAAGAGGAUAUGAAUCGUAGCACUUUUGGAUUUUUUGGGACACCCAUUUCAAACAUUUUUUAUUUUAUUUCCCAAGACUGCAGGACUUCUGCGGUACGGACAUCUUGGACAUGGAACAGAUAAUGAGUAUAAUUCUAAGGACAGUUCUGUGAAAUUAGUGUAUGAACCUGGCCACAUCCUCGAGCAAUUGCUUGUCUGGGGAAACAUUUGUCAAAGUGGCAUGUGCCAUGUGGGACAAAUCACAAAGUAUAUUAGGACAGCAGAGAGGGAAGCAAGCUUGAUUCAACCAAUGCCCAUACUGCAGAAGAGAAUUGAAUAUCUACUUUCUCUGCUAGAUCAGCCCUAUGAUGAGAGGUUUCUUGGUGCAUAUAAAUUCUUGUGGAAUAGAAUGAGAGCAAUUCGAAUGAACCUGAGAAUGCAGCACAUUUUCAAUCAAGGGGGCUAUUACUAUACUUGAACAGAUGAUACUUUUUUAUUUUUAACAAAAGUAUAAUAAAACCCAAUUUUUCUCUUAUUUAAGUGGACAAAGUUUCAUACCCUAUGAGGAGGAUAUCGAGUGAAGGCAACUUGGUCAUGGUAACCCUACCUUCUUCUCCGGUUGCAGCAUCAGCUUCUAGGGGCAUGCCCCGAGCUAAAUAACUAGCUAGCUAGCAGUGUUCUGUUUGAUUAAGGUUUCUAAAUGAAUAUGUUUGAUAAAACCACUAUGUAUUCAUUUAUUUAUUUUUAUAAUUGUGAAUCAGUUUAGUUA